UUUGCCCAAACCCAAUAACUCACUCAAAGCUCAAUCUCCCUACCCAAAUACCCAUUACCCCUUGCCCUAAUCCUUCGCAUAAAAGGGGAGCUAAGGCACAAAAAUAGGGGGAAUUUGGAGAGAUCCCUGACCUUAGCAAAAUACAGAGAAGAACCCAACGACGCUGCUCCCUCCCUCUGAACAAAAAUCACACCCAGCUCCUUUCCUUUUUCUUCUGAAACUCCUUUCUUCCUCCUUGAAGAUCCAGUCAUGGAACUCAACUCACCCUCCUCAUCUCCUUCUCCAAACCGCCCAGAAGCGCUAUCUUCUCAGCCAUAACCAGCUGAAAACCAACUUCAAACGCCUCCAAAACCGAACCCCCCUUGCCAUCCGAGAAACAACGCCUUUGGCUGGCUUUUCCUUCCUCAUAAACACAUGAAAAACUAAAAAAAAUCAAAAAAAAAAAAAAAAAAAAAAAACUUCAAAAAAAAACAGAUAAGGAAAAUGGUAGUGAAAGAGGAAUUUCGAAGUUGUAUUUACUUCACUGCUCUAAUCUGCAAUUUCUGGGUUAUCAAGGAGUGGUUUGGUGUUGGAUUGCUGUGAUUUCUGUGGUAUAUUAGCUGAGCUCCAGCCUAUAUCUGUUUCAGAAUUUAUUUGGCUUUUGGGGUCUUUCUUUUCUUCCUGGCUUGUAAAGAAAUAAGUCACAAACAUGAGCUAGAUCAGGGAAAUAGAAUCUGUUCAUUUGCGGGAGUACAUUGAUUUUGAUUUUGUGUCGUGAGUAUGUGUAAAAAUGAUACAAGCUGUCUUUAUGUAUUCAUGGAAUUGAUUCAAGUCAAAUAGUGACAUUCAUGAUACAUACAAAAUGUUUUAGAUAAAAUCAUCAAUGUCUUUGGCUAUGCAGGUUUGAUUUAUAGCUAAAUUUUGUAAUAUUAACACUCAAUUGUCUUGAGCUAUUUGUGCUUGAGUAAUGAAAAAUGGGCCGUUUCAUGUUGCCGUGGUA